rnacentral:tRNA from 1 species
GCACCUGUAGCUCAGGGGAUAGAGCAGUGGAUUCCGGUUCCACGAGCGGGGGUUCGAAUCCCUCCAGGUGCG